CAGGUGCUGCAUGGCUGUCGUCAGCUCGUGUUGUGAAAUGUUGGGUUAAGUCCCGCAACGAGCGCAACCCUUAUCCUUUGUUGCCAGCGAUUAGGUCGGGAACUCAAAGGAGACUGCCAGUGAUAAACUGGAGGAAGGUGGGGAUGACGUCAAGUCAUCAUGGCCCUUACGACCAGGGCUACACACGUGCUACAAUGGCGCAUACAAAGAGAAGCGACCUCGCGAGAGCAAGCGGACCUCAUAAAGUGCGUCGUAGUCCGGAUUGGAGUCUGCAACUCGACUCCAUGAAGUCGGAAUCGCUAGUAAUCGUGGAUCAGAAUGCCACGGUGAAUACGUUCCCGGGCCUUGUACACACCGCCCGUCACACCAUGGGAGUGGGUUGCAAAAGAAGUAGGUAGCUUAACCUUCGGGAGGGCGCUCACCACUUUGUGAUUCAUGACUGGGGUGAAGUCGUAACAAGGUAACCGUAGGGGAACCUGCGGUUGGAUCACCUCCUUACCUGAAAGAA
rnacentral:rRNA from 1 species